UAAAAAUUAGUUAACCUAUAAUAUAAGCUUGUCAAGCUUAAGUAAUCCCAGCCGAUAUUUUUAA
rnacentral:tRNA from 1 species